CAAUAGCGUAUAUUAAAGUUGUUGCAGUUAAAAAGCUCGUAGUUGGAUUUCUGGUAGGAGCGACCGUGCCGAACUUGAUUGUUCGAGUAUUGUGUUGUCUUCAGCCAUCCUCGUGGAGAACUUUUCUAACAUUAACUUGUUGGGAUUGGGACCCGCGUCGUUUACUGUGAAAAAAUUAGAGUGUUUAAAGCAGGCAUUAGCUUGAAUACAUUAGCAUGAAAUAAUAAGAUAGGACUUUGGUACUAUUUUGUUGGUUUGCAUACCAAAUUAAUGAUCAACAGGAACAGUUUGAGGAUAUUCGUAUGAACAUGUCAGAGGUGAAAUUCUUGGAUUUUGAUCAGACGAACUACUGCGAAAGCAUUUAUCAAGGAUGUUUUCAUUAA
rnacentral:rRNA from 1 species